UCAUGGAGACCGGGCAGAGAAAGGAUCCUGUGGUGAUGGAAAUAAAUGUCCUGUAUCUUGACUGUAUCAAUGCUACUAUCUUAAUUAUGGUAUUGUACUAUAGUUUAGAGAGAUAGUACCAUUCGGGGAACCAGGUAAAAGGUUGAUGUAAUUUCUCUGGGUUGUUUCUUACAACUUCCUGUGAAUCUACAUUUAUCUCAAAGUAAAUAGAUUAGUUUUAAAAACUCAAAAGAUGCAGGCAAAACCAGGGAAACAGAUAUGUCAGUUUGUCAGUUAUGGCAUGCGCCUUAGAACCCUGACGCCAUAACGGCCGGUGACCUUGACAACUCCAGAAUCCUCAGGCUUCAGGGCCUAGUUUACAGUGCUCUGCCAAGUGCUGUGGACGUGCUCGAUAGUCAGUGCCAAGAAUUGAAGAAAACGGGAUGUUUUCGUCAAUCAAAAAGCGCUUUCAGCUUUCAGGCAGUCGUUCAAGGCUUCACCUCCACAGGGAAAGCUCUUCUGUUGAGGUGGACACCCACAGUGAAAAUGCUACGUCAUCUGAGAGUGCCGCUCGCACUCUGCUGAUCCACGGCCCCGUGGAACUCAAAAGAGGCUGGAGGAGGCAGAAGCGACACCUCUUCUUGCUCAGCGAUCUGUUGCUGAUAACUAACACCAAGUAC